GUGGGACACAUGGGGCAUCUUCAAGUACAACUAGAGAUGCAGUUGUGCGUACCCUCGCCAACCAGAGGUCCUCCAACACUGCACCAAAUAAGAAAAUUAAAAUUGAUGACUCUGAAUUUACUGUAGAGGAAACGAUUCUUUUAAUGAGGACAAACAUAACAGCACCACCGAGGGGCGAGUUUUACAGUCACCACAGCGAAAACAAGUUGGUGGUUCGUCAUAAGACUUUGAGAAGGAAUAUGAGUGAGGAACAAAUCAAACAAGAAUUCAUCAAUGAAUUUUCUCCCUUCUUAGAUAAUAUUGGAUUCAAAUUCUUUACUCAAAAAGGCUUAUCCUUAAUCGUAGACCUGGGUCUAGCUAAGGGGACUGCUUUAAAUGGCGCUACGUUCAGCCGGUUAUAUAAGAAAAAAACAGUGUUUAUUAUGCCUGUUGGUAGCAUGCCUAUAUGGCAACCAUGUGCGCCUAGCCGCCCAGGCUCUGUGGUAGCGGCCCCGAGAUAUACACUGUCAUGGCGUCUACCUAGAUUUGUCUUUUGUCUUGUCGUCCGUUUUCAGAACCUAACAAUGCCAUUUCAGGAUUUGCCCAUCCCUGAUUUCAAUUCCGUGAGUGGGUCUGAAAGCAUUGCUGAAAAUGGUCCAACAACAAGGGAACGUGAACGAGUGAUGCCUACUAUUGAAAUUAGCGAUGAUGAUUCUGAUGAUUGUGGCCUCUCUGACACACAAUCGUCGCCUGCCACUGAAGUUGAUAUAAGAACAUUGCUGCUCCCGCUGAAGGAACAAAUAUCUACAUCCUAUUGUCAAUGGAAAAUUGAUCGCUGCAAUGUGCUAAAUAAUGCAUUUAACCAAAUGUGUCGUUCAUAUUUUGACCCUACAAAACCUGUGGCCAUAACAUUCACAGACACAAUGGGGAUGGAGCCUGGUGACGAACCACGCGAAGAGGAGAAUGUUGAUGGUGGAGGUCUCUCUCGAGAAUUUUUCACCUUAGGGCUCUGCAAUAUCAGAGAUUCCAAACUUUUUGUCGGCUCAUCUGAAGAGAAAGCAUUAAACUAUCACGCCCCAGGCAACGUUACUCGGCAAGGCAAGAAUGAUUACGAACUUGCAGGUAUGUUUAUGGCUAUGGCCCUCAUCCAGGGAGCAGCUGGACCUAACUUUUUGACGACAGAGCUGUAUGAUGCUCUACUAACUGGCAGUAUUAACAAAGUAAAAGAACACUCGCUAGAUCCUGUUGUUAGGAGGCAUUUGCACUCAAUAAUUGAAGCACCCGAUGUCACUGCUCUAAGAAACGCAGUGCUGGAGGAGUCGUGCACUGAGGCGAGACUGGCCUGUUAUCCAUCACUCUGUGAUAAGCAAAGUCUAAUUGAUCGUAAGUAACUUGAGUCAUCAAACACUCUUACCAAUUACGAGUACUUUUACAUCUCUAAAGUAUCGUUGAAUCAGCAUUUUCCCUUUCAGUUUUGUUUGCGAUGUGAGAGAGAUUCCUGUCACCUUCAACCAGUUUCUUGUUUUAACUUGUUUUUUCCCAGUAUCGGAGACUUGUAAAUGAAAACGUAAUAUUUAAUUUCAAAAACUCGGAAAUUUCACAAAUCAGAUAAUAAGCAGUGAAUUUUGUAUAAUAUUUUGAUGGUGAAAAUUGAAAAAAACGUAUCUCGAAAAACACGAUGUUUCUAUAGAGUUAAAAACUUUCCAAUUUUUUUUUUUUACCAAGAGAGAGGUAAAAAUUGGUUCACGGGGCGCAAGAUACGUGUUUUUAGCACUAAGCGGAGAUAUGUCUUAAUAGAUCUCAUGGUUACUAGGCAAUUUCUAGAUGCUUUUCAACUGUAUUUUUUUGCAGGCAUGUAAAGCACAUCCCCUACUACAGAUUUCUGCAGCUAACUCCAAAUCGACAUAAAUCAAGGUACAUGUUUUUGGACCUUCACCAUCGAUUUAUUGUAUCGCUUUUAUAUUUUAUCAUUUACUGCUCUUAUUCUGCAGGUGAAUUUGGAUGCGGAAACUAUUAAUACCUUGGCAACUUUGGACCCGAACAUGCUGAGACUUGCACAAGCUUUAGCUGCAAGUAGGACCCUUGAUUCAUCAUCAACUUCCACCGACUCUCGCACCUCCUCUAAGGCAUUGACAAAGUCUUCAUUUGAUAAUUUUCCCAGAAAAACCAAAAGAAAAUCUUGUUUAAUUCCAGAAAACUGUGAAUCAAAAGCAAAACAAUGUUCCAAAGAAUUAUAUCUGUGCCGUACCGUGGGUCAGAAAAAGCCUUAUACGGACGAGGAGGAGGAACGGUUGGGGCCUCUCGGCUAUAUCAAGCGACCCGUCAUAUUUGCUACCAAUGAAUCACAAGAUGAUGUUAAAAGAAAAGUACGCCAAUUUUUUGAAAAAAAACUUUUUGGAGAUAAUUUUGAUUUCCUUUAUGUUGAUGAGAAGAAGAAAAUUUUGAAACAUUUUUAUCUCCCAUCUGAUUCAUUUAUUGAUGGACAAGCCAUGUUUCGUCACAAAGGAAACAAAUUGUAGGGUUUUUUUUUCUUUCUUCGCAAUCUCGAUCCUUCGGAAAAUUAGUGGGUUGUAGGAAAAAAAUGGUCGAUUCGGGGUCAGCAGCAAAAAAUAAGAUAUAGUAGCCUAAUUAGCUAACUAAAUGAUUUUCUGUCCUUCCGCACUCAAAACAACGGGUCCGUUUUAUAUAGGAUUCGUGAGUGGAUGAUGCCAUUUUGACCGGAAAACCUCGUCAUCAGAAAAAGGGUGGCAUAUUUUUUAGACAUGCGGUGUGUGAAACAUGUCUGGCUAAGUAUCUUUGGCUCCUAAAUUCAAGAAUUACUUGGUUUAUCUCAAUCAUGCAUUAAUUUCCAGAAAAUCAAAUUUUCCAAGGAAAAUUCAUUUUUAAAUAUUCUCAAUUUGCCUGGAGAAUGGCGGAGACAGGGAAAAUCCAAGAUCAUAAAGAUCAUACUUGGACCCAGGGCUGAAUGUUACAUGAGAAUUCACUAUUAAAGCACUAACUUUUUUUGGUGCAUACUUGUGUAAUCUUUCAUAUUCAACAGCAGACCAGUUUCGCGUCAUUUACUUGUGAGCAUAAAGCUUCAUCAAAGAUUAUACACUCAUUAGAAGUUACAUAUUUCUAUACUCAAAACGUGAGGUUUAUUGUUGUUUGUGUACCUUUUUUUACUUAUUAUACCAUGUUAGUUUAGGAAUGUGGUUAUUUUUAAAUUUUGUUAUAUUUUUAUUGAUAUUUUAACGGAAGUUUCUCCAUAAGAUGAGUUCUGAUUAGUUUGGUUAAAUUCUGGAAACGUACAGUAUCCGAUUUGUUUCCUAAAAACUUAAUUAUGUCUAUUUGAUCAGGAGUUUUUUUUUCAUUCUCUCCUCAAUUUGAUCUUUCACAUGUUUUACUUACACAAAGAAACUUACUUACACAAAAGAUUUGAAUUUUGAAAAUUUAUUUGACCUUCAAAAUGUUUUUAUAAAUUAAUUCCAUUAAUUUUUUAAUAUUAUUUUUUCAUUAUUUAUCGAUUACUUGUUUAAUUAUUCAAUGAAAUUUUUUUUUCCAGCACUUCUCAUGUCUUCAUUUGCUACUGACGGACUAACCCUAACACUGGCGGUCUGACCCUACGCAUGUGGCAAUCUGACCCCACGCGUGGGGUCAACUCGUCAGUUUUUUUUUUUUUUUAAAAUUCAAAAUGAAGGUCGGGGGGGGGGGGGAAGGCACCUAAGUGUGCGAAUUUUUUUUUGUAGGCAAAGGUUCAAAGAUUACUCCUACCAUUCAAAAAAGUUCAUCUAUCAAUUAGGAGCAUCAGGAAAAAUCAUGAGGCAAAAAAGUGGCGGUGUGACCCCAUCUUACCCUAACAUCAUUUUUGUAAGAAGCUUUAUCGAGCGACGACGCUUGAUGAGUCCAGGCAGAUAGAAACUUUAACCUCCAAUAACACCGGGUAGCAUUAAUUUCAUGGUUGCCCAUGUGAUUUUUGGCGCUGAAUCCGAACUUUUAACAUUUCAUAAAAAAUUUUGCCGGAAAGUUGCCAAAUUUGGCAGAAAUGGCUUAAAAUGGGCCCUUUUUUUUUGCGGAUUAUGGCCAGUGACUUGCCAGGAGUUGAUCUGACGACAAAAUUGGUAUUAUUUCCACAGUUACAGUUACCUAAAACUUGUUAAAUUUUCUACAAGCUGAAUCACAUGUUACGGAAUGAUGGGAAAUGACACCCAAAAUUAACAAUGAUUCAGUUUGAGUAAAUAUAGGUACGGCAAAAAUGCAACAAUCCAAACAUCUGAAGAGGGUGCCUAGCACUGCCAGUGUGGAGGGGCCAGGAAAGUCUCCUCCAAAAUUGUAUGAAGCACACUGACACACAGUUUUUCAGAACUGCUAACGAUAUUUCAACCGUUGAAUAUAAGAAUGUUUCUCGAAGGUUACCGAGUCAGUAAAAAUUGAAUAUACAUAGAAUGUCCAUAGGAUAUCUACGGAUAUCCUAUGAAUAUUCUAUGGAUAUCCAAAACAUAGGCUGUGUGGCCACUAAGAUAUCCCAUAGAUAUCCGUAGGAUAUCCGCAGAUAUCCUAUGGAUAGCCGUUUUUAUCCUCGGAUAUCCAUAGAACGUUCUAUGAAUAUCCGUGUGCUAUCUGGGAUCUUACACUAAAUUAGAAUCUGUGCUUAACCUAAAUAAAUUCAGAAUUUCGAAUUACGCCAGUUCCCCGGAUGAUCCAUGAAAUAGGAGGGCCAAUCAGAACGGAUUUUUUUUUACCUGAGAAGUCCUAACUCUCCGGAACUACAAGGGCUCCAAUCUAUAACUUCGUGUGUGUGUGUGCACGUGGGACCGUAGUUGUGAGGAGUUUUAUAAGAUUUUAACACACGUUGUGAGCAGUGGGGUAAUUAUGAGGAGCUCCUCACAAUGAAAAGCCAUAAGAACAAUGUAAAAUCCGGACUUGUCAUUUUCGAGGCGAUUUCGAUUUCUUCCUCACAACGUUCACACAGCAACCAAAGCUUCGCGGUAGGUGUAUAAGAUAGCGCUGCUGUCGCUUUAUGUGAGACGAUGACGAGAUCUCCGGCAGAGGCCGCGUCGAUCGUAACGGAGCACCGGUCAGCCGGCAACGAUCCCCGAUAGAGGCCGCGAAGUUCGUAACGGUCAGCCGGCAACGCGCAGCCUGCUUUUUAAGGGUUAUGUUUUCUUGUUUAUGAGUGAAAUUAUCAGAAAACGAAGAAGUGAUGUAAGCAAGAAUCUCCCGCGCUUUUCUAGGAUUCCAUUGUUACUAUUCUAUUUCUUAUUUUCUUUUGUCUACUGCAUUGGUGAAUUGGUGUUGUGAGCGUGUUCGGUGUUCGGUCAGUUCAGUUUAGAAAAUGCCGAGGGCGAGGAAGAAAAAAGAUAGUGGCGAGUAUCUGUUCAUUAAUAUUAACUAUUUAUUUCUUUUUGUCUACUGUACAAAUCAAGACCGGAUCCAUAUGAUUUAUCUCUGUAGUGCUGUCUGAAACCUGCAGUUUUCUAGGGUUUACUGCCUUUUUUUGUUUACCGAUGGAUACAUCGACGUAGUGAACGCCUCGAAAGUAAAAGAACCAAUUCUUGCUCAAAGCACAUCGGCGAAAUGGCGGGGGAGAUUUUUCGAAGGAAAAGUGCUGGCAGUAGGAGGUACGCGUUUUACAUUGACUAAUAUUUUCAGUGUUGUUUCUCUAAUACCUAUGUGGUACUCCACUCUCAAUGG
rnacentral:lncRNA from 1 species